GGCGCUGUGGCACAGCAGGUUAACGCCCUGGCCUGAAACACCAGCAUCCCUUAUGGGCACCGGGUUCUAGUCCCGGCUGCUCCU
rnacentral:tRNA from 1 species